UUCUCCUAUUCUCCUUCAUUUCUCUUUCAUUUCCCCCUUCUUCUUUUCGGCAUCUCUUUCUUCUUUUCUCCCAUUUCUUCUUUUCACUUCAUCUUCUUACCAUGCUCUUUUUAUCCACUUCAUCCAGUUCCUCCAUCACUCUCCCCAUGACAGUCGUCGAUCUCAUCUCCCUGUCUUCUCUCUCUAGUACGACAACACAUGAUUUAUGCCAAACACCAGAAAUGUCUCGCUUUCCUGCUCCUGUUUUCUAUUGUGUGUAAGGGGUUUUGCUUAUCCGAGGUACUUAGUGAGGAAUUUUGUUUCAAUUUUUUCAAGUUAACUAAAAAUUUGUAAUUCCCUAAUUUUAUUAUGGUUUUGUAGUUUUUGUUCAAUUCAAUCUAUUUUUAUGACUAUUUUGCUAAUUAUCAAAUUUCUCAUACAUUAUUCUACUUAAACCACAUUUAUUUUAUCUAUUUUGUUAAUAUUUAGUGAUGUUUUUUGUGACAGCCCGUUCUAGAUUUUCGAACCGUGGGGUGAAAUGACGAUUUUGCCCCUAGCAUGGUUGUUUCGUUGUGUGGUUGUUUUUGGGAUUUUUUGUUGGCAGGUUCUGGGCCACACACACUCCCCCACACCUCCCUCACCCUUUCCCUGCCCUGCACCCCUGUCCCGAGUCCUCUCUCUCCCAUUUCUAUCCAAUACGUACGGACACAAUAAAAAACACGCCAAAUCUUCACAGAUCGAGGAAACAAAGUACAUAUUCAUGCUCGUGAGGUCCAUAGAAGUUCAACCAUACCCAUUUCAGCUUGUAGGAAGCUUGGUGAGGUCCUUAUGAGGCUCGGGGUGGUUCGUUUAAAGGUUUUGGACGUCAGGAUCGUGAGUUAUAAGCUUGGCCAGAGUUGGUGGUGUUUUCCCGUUGUGAUCCCGUGGGUUUUAGUGCUUAAAAGUGGUGAGACCUAUCCGGAGGACGAGCGUGGUCACUCGAGGCAAGGGGGUUACGACCCUUCU